rnacentral:rRNA from 1 species
GAUGAACGCUGGCGGCGUGCUUAACACAUGCAAGUCGAACGAACCUUCGGGUUAGUGGCGGACGGGUGAGUAACGCGUGAGAAUCUGCCCUCAGGAGGGGGAUAACGGCUGGAAACGGCCGCUAAUACCCCAUAUGCCGAGAGGUGAAAUGAAUUUCGCCUGAGGAUGAGCUCGCGUCUGAUUAGCUUGUUGGUGGGGUAAUGGCCUACCAAGGCGACGAUCAGUAGCUGGUCUGAGAGGAUGAUCAGCCACACUGGGACUGAGACACGGCCCAGACUCCUACGGGAGGCAGCAGUGGGGAAUUUUCCGCAAUGGGCGAAAGCCUGACGGAGCAACGCCGCGUGAGGGAUGAAGGCCUCUGGGCUGUAAACCUCUUUUCUCAAGGAAGAAGAUCUGACGGUACUUGAGGAAUAAGCCACGGCUAAUUCCGUGCCAGCCGCCGCCGAGUAACAC